CCAAUCUACACCCCAUGGCCAUUAAAAGUUGUACAAAUCAUGACGCUGCAUCCCACGGUUUACGUUCUAGGGGGCGCCAAAGAUAACCCAGAAAUCCACAUUCUUAAAAGUCGUAUAACUUUUUAUUUUUGUCCUCACUGGCCUCCAAGUUUUCUAGGAUGAUGCAAUGUCUAGCCAUCAACACAUUUGUGAAGGAAUUUUUACUCCCCAAAAGAGCGCCCCCCCAUGGCAGGAGAAAAAAGUCCAGUUUUUCUUCCCCCUAAGGUGAAAAUUCACAUUAUUGAGUGUCACGCCUGUACGCUUUGUCAUAUUGUAACAAACUUUGACAAUCACGUGUUUCUCAAUAAGAUCUACGAAAUAGUCAAUGGGCGCGUAUCUGUAAAAUGUACGGUUAAAGGGCUAUUUCGCAUUUUUGGUCGAUUCGCACACAUUGGAAUGUGGCUAACUCCUCCUAAAUAUUUCGUUCCACUGACACCAAAUUUACUCAGGCCAAUCUACAUUCCAUGGCCAUUCAAAGUUGUAAAAAUCAUGACGCUGCACCCCACAGUUUAUGUUCUAGGGGGCGCCAAAUAUAACCCAAAAAUCCACAUUCUUAAAAGUCUUAUAACUUUUUAUUUUUGUCCUCACUGGCCUCCAAGUUUUCUAGGAUGAUGCAAUGUCUAGCCAUCAACACAUUUGUGAAGGAAUUUUUACUCCCUAAAAGAGCGCCCCCCCAUGGCAGGAGAAAAAGUCAAGUUUUUCCUGCCCAUCGCUCAAUGACUCAAACACAUCGCUCUCUCGGCAAAACCGAAAGGAGGAGCAACUUGCCAUUUGGAUAUAUCCUAGCUGUGUUUGUGCCCUCACUCAUGGUCCAGUCCUUUUCAAAUAGGACAUGUAGUUUGUCUGCGGCGAGCGUUUUGGUAGAAACUGCGCCUCCCAUUCAUUAUAAUUGUAAAUGACCACAGACAAGUGCGCACACCAUCUUUGGACCUUGAGUGUGACGCGAUCGGUAGGGAGAGGCGGUCGUGUUGGGGGCGGCGCGACACGGCUCGGGCCCGCCAGUGCCCCAACGGGGCCCUAGUUUCUUCUUUUUCCUCCCCUUUGAACUGGAAAAUGGCCCACUUCCCACUGGCGAAAACUCAUGAAAUUUGGCAGGACGACCGGGCCUGGUGAAAAAUUCGAUAUUCUGAAGUCGCCCAAACAAUAAAAUGCAAAAUGGCUCCAUAGCGCCCCCUAAGGUGGAAAUUCACACUAUUGACUGUCACGCCUGUACGCUUUGUCAUAUUGACACAAAAAUUGACACACAUAUGUAUCUCAAUAAGAUCUACAAAAAAGUCAGUGCGGCCGUAUCUGUCAAAAUUACGGUUAAAGGGUUAUUUCGCAUUUUUUGCCGAUCCGCACACAUUGGAAUUUCGCUAACUCCUCCGAAGGCUUUCGUUCCACCGGCACCACAUUUGCUCAGGCCAAUCUACACCCCGUGGCCAUUAAAAGUUAUCAAAAUCAUGACGCUGCACCCCAAGGUUUAGGUUCUAGGGGGCGCCAAAGAUAACACUAAAAUCCACAUAUUUAAAAGUCUUAUAACUUUUUAUUUUUGUCCUCACUGGCCUCCAAGUUUUCUAGGAUGAUGCAAUGUCCAGCCAUCAACACAUUUGUGAAGGAAUUUUUACUCCCCAAAAGAGCGCCCCCCCAUGGCAGGAGAAAAAAGUCCAUUUUUUCUUGUCCCCUAAGGUGAAAAUACACAUUGUUGAGUGUCACGCCUAUACGCUUUGUCAAAAUGACACAAAAAUUGACACACACAUGUAUCUCAAUAAGAUCUACAAAAAAGUCCAUGCGCGCGUAUCUGUCAAAUGUACAGUUAAAGGGUUAUUCCGCAUUUUUUGCCGAUACGCACACAUUGGAAUUUCGCUAACUCCUCCGAAGGCUUUCGUUCCACCGGCACCACAUUUGCUCAGGCCAAUCUACACCCCAUGGCCAUUAAAAGUUAUUCAAAUCAUGAUGCUGCACCCCAUGGUUUAGGUUCUAGGGGGCGCCAAAAAUAACCCAAAAAUCCACAUUCUUAAAUGUUUUAUAACUUUUUAUUUUUGUCCUCACUGGCCUCCAAGUUUUCUAGGAUGAUGCAAUGUCCAGCCAUCAACACAUUUGUGAAGGAAUUUUUACUCCCCAAAAGAGCGCCCCCCCAUGGUAGGAGAAAAAAGUCAAUUUUUUCUUGUCCCCUUACAUAAAAAUACACAUUGUUGAGUGUCACGCCUGAACGCUUUGUCAUAUUGACACAAAAAUUGACAAUCAUGUGUAUCUCAAUUAGAUCUACGAAAAAGUCAAAGAGCGCGUAUCUGUAUAAUGUACGGUUAAAGGGCUAUUUUGCAUUUUUUGCCGAUUCGCACACAUUGGAAUGUGGCUAUCUCCUCCUAAGGCUUUCGUCCCACCGAUACCAAAUUUGCUCAGGGCAAUCUACACCCCAUGCCCAUUCAAAGUUGUAAAAAUCAUGACGCUGCACCCCACGGUUUACGUUCUAGGGGGCGCCAAAGAUGACCCAAAAAUCCACAUUCUUAAAAGUCAUUUUGGCCACUGCAGGAGUACAGAGUACUGCAGUUCUAGGGGGCGCCAAAGAUGACCCAAAAAUCCACAUUCUUAAAAGUCUUUUUGGCCACUGCAGGAGUACAGAGUACUGCAGGAUACACACACGCCAACACACACGCCAACACACACACACACACACACACACACACACACACACACACACACACACACACACACACACACACUCAGAGUCUGUUUUUUAGCACCUGCAAAAACAUGCUGUUUACAUAUUUGACAAGAAUGCAGAGGCUUUUGCCCCUGAAAAAAAUCAAAUUUCAAACACAACUUGACUGUUCAUUUCUCCAAAAGACAACCAUGAAGCUCCAUCCAAACCUGAAGCAGAUAGUUGGUGCAUGUGUACAGUAACCUGAGGGGAGUGAGGUGACUAUUUCUGAGGAGAACAUGAGCAGUGAAGAUUCACCUUGGAGCUAGAACAGGGACGUGCACAUGAUUAUACAGGGGCAGGGGCUCAAGUUUUUUCCAGUCAUUUAUACAAUAUGGAAAUUCAUGUGAAAUUAAACCACAAAUAUGUGUGAUGAACUGUUUUUAAAACUUAAACUUCAAAUAAAAAUUGUAAACUUCAAAACAUAUGCAAAUUUUUAACAAAGAACAUAGUAAUUUACCUCUAUUUACAUCAAAAUGCAGGCAAUGGCUCAGGCGUUCUUUGUAAAAUUAUUUACAAAACACUGUAUAGUCUCACAAAUGUCACUUUUUAUUCAUGCCACUACAAAAAAACAUGAUGUAAAUGAUGCAUGAUGUAAAACAUGAUGUAAAAAACUUGUGUAGAUCCUCCUCUAUGUCAGUCCAUGUGUAAUUUUUCCAUAAUUCUUUUUUUUUUGCAGCAUUUUUGUUAGUGUAACUGCAGAUUGUGCUGACAGUGUCUAUGGCAAAAAAAAAAAAAAAAACUGAAAAUGCCUCAACAUGAACCCCUGGUGGUCUCUGAGGGUGAAACCUGCUAACUGCUGCAGCUCUGUCAGCUUUAGUCUCCCAUGCAGAGCUCGGAGCGCAUGUGUGACUCUGCACCCUUAGCAGCGUUGCUAACUCCUCAGUAAGGAAAGCCUGCUUCAUGUCAGAGUCUCUAAACUCCAGAAGAAGUCGAUAAAAGUCCCUUUCUUUCUAAAAAAAAAGUCGUUAGGGGGUCUGAAAAGUCAUUUAAUCUAACAACAAAGUCGCUAGGUUUGCAACUACGUGUCCCAGACUGCAUCCCUGCUGAGAGUUCCUCCCUCCCUUCUCAUGUUGCAGGAAGAACGUAAGCGCCCGCCCCUUGUCAAUCAGUCACCAUAUAAUUUUGGAUUGGUUGUUGUGGUGAAGUUUUCCACCAAUAGGAGAGAUGUUGUGGUGUGUUUUUUUUUUCUUUUGGCAAGCCUUUUCCGCCUGUAAGACCUGUCGCUAAUGUCUGCAUGCUAUGUUUUCCUGUCUCAUACAGCGCGAUCGAGCGCCGAACGUGAUCAAAAUAAGCAGAAAAAAAGUAUUGCGGACAUAAUUUAUCAUAACUCUGGUUUUAUUUGGCCUAUCAACACAAUUUAAAAACUGGUAUAUAUGUUGAGGUCCUCACUUUUGAGAUAAGUUGAAACGGAGAGUCAACGAGGCUCCGUCUUGCAGCUACAUCCGGUUAAAUAUGUCAUGUGACUUGAACGCACACACACACACACACACACAGACACACACACACACGCACACACACACACUCAGAGUCUGGUUUUUAGCACCUGCAAAAACAUGCUAUUUACAUAUUUGACAAGAAUGCAGAGGCUCCUUUUGCCCCUGAAAAAAAUCAAAUUUCAAACACAACUUGACUGGUCAUUUCUCCAAAAGACAACCAUGAAGCUCCAUCCAAACCUGAAGCAGGCAGUUGGUGCAUGUGUACAGUAACCUGAGGGGAGUGAGGUGACUGCUUCUGAGGAGAACAUGAGCAGUGAAGAUUCACCUUAGAGCUAGAACAGAGACGUGCACAUGAUUAUACAGGGGCAGGGGCUCAAGUUUUUUCCAGUUGUUUAUACAAUAUGGAAAUUAAUGUGAAAUUAAAAAACAAAGUAUUAAUAGAAAGGUAAUGACUGUCCUGUGUAGGUGACAGUGAUAUCCAAUAGGCUAGGCACUCACGAGGCUGGCUGUGGCAAGUGUAAGUGAAAGCAACACGCACUGGCAGGAAGAACAGCAAACGCCGAUGAAGGAAAAGGGUCUUUGCAGUGAUGGGCGUUACCAGAGAAGGCGAUGGCCAGAGGACACAAAUGGGACGGGGAGGCAGCGCGUUGGGGGCGGGGACGCGACACAGCUCGGGCCCGCCAGUGCCCCAACGGGGUCCUAGUUAGGGCCCGAGCGUAGCUGCUAAGCAGCUGCGAGAGCCCUCUUGUUCCUGAUGGAUUCUUCUUUUGUUAUUAUUAUUAUUAUUUUUCCUCCGCUUUAAACUGGAAAAUGGCCCACUUCCCACUGGCGAAAACUCAUGAAAUUUGGCAGGACGACCGGGCCUGGUGAAAAAUUCAAUAUUCUGAAGUCGCCCAAACAAUAAAAUGCAAAAUGGCUCCAUAGCGCCCCCUAAGGUGGAAAUUCACACUAUUGACUGUCACGUCUGUACGUUUUGUCAUAUUGACACAAAAAUUGACACACAUAUGUAUCUCAAUAAGAUCUACAAAAAAGUCAGUGCGGGCGUAUCUGUCAAAUGUACGGUUAAAGGGUUAUUUCGCAUUUUUUGCCGAUCCGCACACAUUGGAAUUUCGCUAACUCCUCCGAAGGCUUUCGUUCCACCGGCACCACAUUUGCUCAGGCCAGUCUACACCCCAUGGCCAUUAAAAGUUGUACAAAUCAUGACGCUGCACCCCACGGUUUAGGUUCUAGGGGGCGCCAAAGAUAACCCAAAAAUCCACAUUUUUAAAAGUCUUAUAACUUUUUAUUUUUGUCCUCACUGCCCUCCAAGUUUUCUAGGAUGAUGCAAUGUCCAGCCAUCAACACAUUUGUGAAGGAAUUUUUACUCCCCAAAAGAGCGCCCCCCCAUGGCAGGAGAAAAAAGUCAAUUUUUUCUUGUCCCCUUACAUGAAAAUACACAUUGUUGAGUGUCACGCCUGAACGCUUUGUCAUAUUGACACAAAAAUUGACAAUCAUGUGUAUCUCAAUUAGAUCUACGAAAAAGUCAAAGAGCGCGUAUCUGUAUAAUGUACGGUUAAAGGGCUAUUUCGCAUUUUUUGCCGAUUCGCACACAUUGGAAUGUGGCUAUCUCCUCCUAAGGCUUUCGUCCCACUGAUACCAAAUUUGCUCAGGGCAAUCUACACCCCAUGCCCAUUCAAAGUUGUAAAAAUCAUGACGCUGCACCCCACGGUUUACGUUCUAGGGGGCGCCAAAGAUGACCCAAAAAUCCACAUUCUUAAAAGUCAUUUUGGCCACUGCAGGAGUACAGAGUACUGCAGUUCUAGGGGGCGCCAAAGAUGACCCAAAAAUCCACAUUCUUAAAAGUCUUUUUGGCCACUGCAGGAGUACAGAGUACUGCAGGAUACACACACAUAUACACACACGCCAACACACACACACACACACACACACACACACACACACACACACACACACACUCAGAGUCUGUUUUUUAGCACCUGCAAAAACAUGCUGUUUACAUAUUUGACAAGAAUGCAGAGGCUUCCUUUUGCCCCUGAAAAAAAUCAAAUUUCAAACACAACUUGACUGUUCAUUUCUCCAAAAGACAACCAUGAAGCUCCAUCCAAACCUGAAGCAGAUAGUUGGUGCAUGUGUACAGUAACCUGAGGGGAGUGAGGUGACUAUUUCUGAGGAGAACAUGAGCAGUGAAGAUUCACCUUGGAGCUAGAACAGGGACGUGCACAUGAUUAUACAGGGGCAGGGGCUCAAGUUUUUUCCAGUCAUUUAUACAAUAUGGAAAUUAAUGUGAAAUUAAAAAACAAAGUAUUAAUAGAAAGGUUAUGACUGUCCUGUGUAGAUGACAGUGAUAUCCAAUAGGCUAGGCACUCACGAGGCUGGCUGUGGCAAGUGUAAGUGAAAGCAACACGCACUGGCAGGAAGAACAGCAAACGCCGAUGAAGGAAAGGGUCUUUGCAGUGAUGGGCGUUACCAGAGAGGACGAUGGCCAGAGGACGCGAAUGGGACGGGGAGGCAGCGCGUUGGGGGGGGCAGCGCGACACGGCUCGGGCCCGCCAGUGCCCCAACGGGGCCCUAGUUAUUAUUUUUCCUCCCCUUUGAACUGGAAAAUGGCCCACUUCCCACUGGCGAAAACUCAUGAAAUUUGGCAGGACGACCGGGCCUGGUGAAAAAUUUGAUAUUCCGAAGUCGCCCAAACAAGAAAAUGCAAAAUGGCUCCAUAGCGCCCCCUAAGGUGAAAAUUCACACUAUUGACUGUCACGCCUGUACGCUUUGUCAAAAUGACACAAAAAUUGACACACACAUGUAUCUCAAUAAGAUCUACAAAAAAGUCAGUGCGGGCAUAUCUGUCAAAUGUACGGUUAAAGGGUUAUUUAGCAUUUUUUGCCGAUCCGCACACAUUGGAAUUUCGCUAACUCCUCCGAAGGCUUUCGUUCCACCGGCACCACAUUUGCUCAGGCCAAUCUACACCCCAUGGCCAUUAAAAGUUAUUCAAAUCAUGACGCUGCACCCCACGGUUUAGGUUCUAGGGGGCGCCAAAGAUAACCCUAAGAUCCACAUAUUUAAAAGUCUUAUAACUUUUUAUUUUUGCCCUCACUGGCCUCCAAGUUUUCUAGGAUGAUGCAAUGUCCAGCCAUCAACACAUUUGUGAAGGAAUUUUUACUCCCCAAAAGAGCGCCCCCCCAUGGCAGGAGAAAAAAGUCCAUUUUUUCUUGUCCCCUAAGGCGAAAAUACACAUUGUUGAGUGUAACACCUGUACGCUUUGGCAAAAUGACACAAAAAUUGACACACACAUGUAUCUCAAUAAGAUCUACGAAAAAGUCAAUGCGCGCGUAUCUGUCAAAUGUACGGUUAAAGGGUUAUUCCGCAUUUUUUGCCGAUCCGCACACAUUGGAAUUUCGCUAACUCCUCCGAAGGCUUUCAUUCCACCGGUACCACAUUUGCUCAGGCCAAUCUACACCCCAUGGCCAUUAAAAGUUAUUCAAAUCAUGACGCUGCAUCCCACGGUUUAGGUUCUAGGGGGCGCCAAAGAUAACCCUAAAAUCCACAUAUUUAAAAGUCUUAUAACUUUUUAUUUUUGUCCUCACUGGCCUCCAAGUUUUCUAGGAUGAUGCAAUGUCCAGCCAUCAACACAUUUGUGAAGGAAUUUUUACUCCCCAAAAGAGCGCCCCCCCAUGGCAGGAAAAAAAAGCCAAUUUUUUCUUGUCCCCUAAGGUGGAAAUUCACACUAUUGACUGUCACGCCUGUACGCUUUAUCAUAUUGACACAAAAAUUGACACACAUAUGUAUCUCAAUAAGAUCUACAAAAGAGUCGAUUAGCGCGUAUCUGUCAAAUGUACGGUUAAAGGGCUAUUUUGCAUUUUUUGCCGAUUCGCACACAUUGGAAUGUGGCUAACUCCUCCUAAGGCUUUCGUCCCACUGACACCAAAUUUGCUCAGGCCAAUCUACACCCCAUGGCCAUUCAAAGUUGUAAAAAUCAUGACGCUGCACCCCACGGUUUACGUUCUAGGGGGCGCCAAAGAUGACCCAAAAAUCCACAUAUUUCAAAGAAUCCACAUCCCCCCCCCCCCAUAUGGCAGGAGAAAAAGUUUUUUCCUGCCCAUCGCUCAAUGGCUCAAUCGCAUCGCUCUCCAGGCAACACCGUAAGGAGGAGCAACCUGCCAUUUCGAUAUAUCAUAGCUGUGUUUGUGCCCUCACUCAUGGUCCAGACUUUUUUCAAAUAGGACAUGAAGUUUGUCUGCAGCGAGUGUUUUGGUAGAAACUGCGCCUCCCAUUCAUUAUAAUAGGAAAUGACCACAGACAAGUGCGCACACCAUCUUUGGAUCUUGAGUGUGACGCGAUCGGGAGGGGGAGGCGGUCGCACUGGGGGCGGCGCGACACGGCUCGGGCCCGACAGUGCCCCAACGGGGUCCUAGUCUUUGUUUCUUUCUUUCUUUUUAGGGCCCGAGCGUAGCUGCUAAGCAGCUGCGAGAGCCCUCUUGUUCCUGCAUGUUUCCUUCUUUUGUUAUUAUUAUUAUUAUUAUUUUUCCUCCCCUUUGAACUGGAAAAUGGCCCACUUCCCACUGGCGAAAACUCAUGAAAUUUGGCAGGACGACCGGGCCUGGUGAAAAAUUUGAUAUUCUGAAGUCGCCCAAACAAUAAAAUGCAAAAUGGCUCCAUAGCGCCCCCUAAGGUGGAAAUUCACACUAUUGACUGUCACGCCUGUACGCUUUGUCAAAAUGACACAAAAUUUGACACACAUAUGUAUCUCAAUAAGAUCUACAAAAAAGUCAGUGCGGGCGUAUCUGUCAAAUGUACGGUUUAAGGGCUAUUUCGCAUUUUUUGGCGAUCCGUACACAUUGGAAUUUCGCUAACUCCUCCGAAGGCUUUUGUUCCACCGGCACCACAUUUGCUCAGGCCAAUCUACACCCCAUGGCCAUUAAAAGUUAUUCAAAUCAUGACGCUGCACCCCACGGUUUAGGUUCUAGGGGGCGCCAAAGAUAACCCUAAAAUCCACAUAUUUAAAAGUCUUAUAACUUUUUAUUUUUGUCCUCACUGGCCUCCAAGUUUUCUAGGAUGAUGCAAUGUCCAGCCAUCAACACAUUUGUGAAGGAAUUUUUACUCCCCAAAAGAGCGCCCCCCCAUGGCAGGAGAAAAAAGUCCAUUUUUUCUUGUCCCCUAAGGUGAAAAUACACAUUGUUGAGUGUCACGCCUCUACACUUUGUCAAAAUGACACAAAAUUUGGCACACAGGUGUGUCUCAAUAAGAUCUACAAAAAAGUCAAUGCGGGCGUAUCUGUCAAAUGUACGGUUAAAGGGCUAUUUCGCAUUUUUUGGCGAUCCGUACGCAUUGGAAUUUCGCUAACUCCUCCGAAGGCUUUUAUUCCACCGGCACCACAUUUGCUCAGGCCAAUCUACACCCCAUGGCCAUUAAAAGUUAUUCAAAUCAUGACGCUGCACCCCACGGUUUAGGUUCUAGGGGGCGCCAAAGAUAACCCGAAAAUCCACAUAUUUAAAAGUCUUAUAACUUUUUAUUUUUGUCCUCACUGGCCUCCAAGUUUUCUAGGAUGAUGCAAUGUCCAGCCAUCAACACAUUUGUGAAGGAAUUUUUACUCCCCAAAAGAGCGCCCCCCCAUGGCAGGAGAAAAAAGUCCAUUUUUUCUUGUCCCCUAAGGUGAAAAUACACAUUGUUCAGUGUCACGCCUCUACACUUUGUCAAAAUGACACAAAAUUUGGCACACAGGUGUAUCUCAAUAAUAUCUACGAAAAAGUCAAUGCGGGCGUAUCUGUCAAAUGUACGGUUAAAGGGCUAUUUCGCAUUUUUUGGCGAUCCGUACACAUUGGAAUUUCGCUAACUCCUCCGAAGGCUUUUGUUCCACCGGCACCACAUUUGCUCAGGCCAAUCUACACCCCAUGGCCAUUAAAAGUUAUUCAAAUCAUGAUGCUGCACCCCACGGUUUAGGUUCUAGGGGGCGCCAAAGAUAACCCUAAAAUCCACAUAUUUAAAAGUCUUAUAACUUUUUAUUUUUGUCCUCACUGGCCUCCAAGUUUUCUAGGAUGAUGCAAUGUCCAGCCAUCAACACAUUUGUGAAGGAAUUUUUACUCCCUAAAAGAGUGCCCCCCCAUGGCAGGAGAAAAAGUCAAGUUUUUCCUGCCCAUCGCUCAACGGCUCAAACACAUCGCUCUCUCGGCAAAACCGAAAGGAGGAGAAACUUGCCAUUUGGAUAUAUCCUAGCUGUGUUUGUGCCCUCACUCAUGGUCCAGACUUUUUUCAAAUAGGACAUGUAGUUUGUCUGCAGCGAGCGUUUUGGUAGAAACUGCGCCUCCCAUUCAUUAUAAUGGUAAAUGACCACAGACAAGUGUGCACACCAUCUUUGGACCUUGAGUGUGACGCGAUCGGGAGGGAGAGGCGGUCGUGUUGGGGGCGGCGCGACACAGCUCGGGCCCGCCAGUGCCCCAACGGGGUCCUAGUGUUAUUAUUAUUAUUUUUCCUCCCCUUUGAACUGGAAAAUGGCCCACUUCCCACUGGCGAAAACUCAUGAAAUUUGGCAGGACGACCGGGCCUGGUGAAAAAUUUGAUAUUCCGAAGUCGCCCAAACAAGAAAAUGCAAAAUGGCUCCAUAGCGCCCCCUAAGGUGAAAAUUCACACUAUUGACUGUCACGCCUGUACGCUUUGUCAAAAUGACACAAAAAUUGACACACACAUGUAUCUCAAUAAGAUCUACAAAAAAGUCAGUGCGGGCAUAUCUGUCAAAUGUACGGUUAAAGGGUUAUUUCGCAUUUUUUGCCGAUCCGCACACAUUGGAAUUUCGCUAACUCCUCCGAAGGCUUUCGUUCCACCGGCACCACAUUUGCUCAGGCCAAUCUACACCCCAUGGCCAUUAAAAGUUAUUCAAAUCAUGACGCUGCACCCCACGGUUUAGGUUCUAGGGGGCGCCAAAGAUAACCCUAAGAUCCACAUAUUUAAAAGUCUUAUAACUUUUUAUUUUUGCCCUCACUGGCCUCCAAGUUUUCUAGGAUGAUGCAAUGUCCAGCCAUCAACACAUUUGUGAAGGAAUUUUUACUCCCCAAAAGAGCGCCCCCCAUGGCAGGAGAAAAAAGUCCAUUUUUUCUUGUCCCCUAAGGCGAAAAUACACAUUGUUGAGUGUAACACCUGUACGCUUUGGCAAAAUGACACAAAAAUUGACACACACAUGUAUCUCAAUAAGAUCUACGAAAAAGUCAAUGCGCGCGUAUCUGUCAAAUGUACGGUUAAAGGGUUAUUCCGCAUUUUUUGCCGAUCCGCACACAUUGGAAUUUCGCUAACUCCUCCGAAGGCUUUCAUUCCACCGGUACCACAUUUGCUCAGGCCAAUCUACACCCCAUGGCCAUUAAAAGUUAUUCAAAUCAUGACGCUGCAUCCCACGGUUUAGGUUCUAGGGGGCGCCAAAGAUAACCCUAAAAUCCACAUAUUUAAAAGUCUUAUAACUUUUUAUUUUUGUCCUCACUGGCCUCCAAGUUUUCUAGGAUGAUGCAAUGUCCAGCCAUCAACACAUUUGUGAAGGAAUUUUUACUCCCCAAAAGAGCGCCCCCCCAUGGCAGGAAAAAAAAGCCAAUUUUUUCUUGUCCCCUAAGGUGGAAAUUCACACUAUUGACUGUCACGCCUGUACGCUUUAUCAUAUUGACACAAAAAUUGACACACAUAUGUAUCUCAAUAAGAUCUACAAAAGAGUCGAUUAGCGCGUAUCUGUCAAAUGUACGGUUAAAGGGCUAUUUUGCAUUUUUUGCCGAUUCGCACACAUUGGAAUGUGGCUAACUCCUC